GUAGUCUCGCACAGAUGCAUAUCAAUAAGCGGAGGAAAAGAAACUAACAAGGAUUCCCUCAGUAACGGCGAGUGAAGCGGGAAGAGCUCAAAUUUGAAAUCUUGAAAGGUCACCUUUCACGAAUUGUAGUUUAAAGAAGUGUUUUCUGUUACGAUCGUAAUAUAAGUUCUUUGGAAUAGGACAUCACAGAGGGUGAGAAUCCCGUCCUAUGAUUGCGAUUUGUAGCUUUGUGAUACACUUUCAAAGAGUCGGGUUGUUUGGGAAUGCAGCCCAAAACGGGAGGUAAAUUUCUUCUAAGGCUAAAUAUUGGCGAGAGACCGAUAGCGAACAAGUACCGUGAGGGAAAGAUGAAAAGAACUUUGAAAAGAGAGUUAAAUAGUACGUGAAAUUGUCAAAAGGGAAGCGUUUAACACCAGUGUUGUUUUCUGAAGAUCAACCUCUGUUAGCUUUAUGCAUGUUUGUUUAGACCUAAUCAGCUAUCUUGCAUGUUCUAUUGUUUGCAGUGGUGCACUUUUCAGUUUACAGGUCAACAUCAGUUUUUUUUACCGUAAAAAGUUAAAGAAAGGUAGCUCAUGGCUCCGGUCGUGAGUGUUAUAGUCUUUUUCCUAUGCGGUAGGAGAGACUGAGGUCUGCAGUGUAGGCUAUUUGGCUAGAUACUCAGGUGCUAUGUGAUACCAUUUCAUAAACAACUUGUUGAUUAUGUUUUGUCUAUUGCAUACUCGCUUGUACUAUCAUACCUACGCUUAGGAUGUUGAGUCGUAGAGCACGCAG
rnacentral:rRNA from 1 species